UACGGGGGGGGCAAGCGUUGUUCGGAAUUACUGGGCGUAAAGGGCUCGUAGGCGGCCAACUCAGUCGGACGUGAAAUCCCUCGGCUUAACCGGGGAAUGGCGUCCGAUACUGGAUGGCUUGAGUUUGGGAGAGGGAUGCGGAAUUCCAGGUGUAGCGGUGAAAUGCGUAGAUAUCAGGAGGAACACCGGUGGCGAAGGCGGCAUCCUGGACCAACACUGACGCUGAGGAGCGAAAGCCAGGGGAGCAAACGGG
rnacentral:rRNA from 1 species